rnacentral:rRNA from 1 species
AUUGAACGCUGGCGGCAGGCCUAACACAUGCAAGUCGAACGAGUGGCGGACGGGUGAGUAAUGCCUGGGAAUCUGGCUGAUGGAGGGGGAUAACUACGGGAAACGGUAGCUAAUACCGCGUACCAUAGGAUGAGCCCAGGUGGGAUUAGGUGGUUGGUGGGGUAACGGCUCACCAAGGCGACGAUCCCUAGCUGGUCUGAGAGGAUGACCAGCCACACUGGGACUGAGACACGGUCCAGACUCCUACGGGAGGCAGCAGUGGGGAAUAUUGCACAAUGGGCGCAAGCCUGAUGCAGCCAUGCCGCGUGUAUGAAGAAGGCCUUCGGGUUGUAAAGUUCUUUCGGUGGCGAGGCGUUACCUGCAGAAGAAGCACCGGCUAACUCCGUGCCAGCAGCCGCGGUAAUUC